rnacentral:rRNA from 1 species
GACGAACGCUGGCGGCGUGCCUAAUACAUGCAAGUCGAGCGAAGUUUUUCUGGUGCUUGCACUAGAAAAACUUAGCGGCGAACGGGUGAGUAACACGUAAAGAACCUGCCUCAUAGACUGGGACAACUAUUGGAAACGAUAGCUAAUACCGGAUAACAGUAUUUCUCGCAUGAGAGAUAUUUAAAAGUUGGUUAUGCUAACACUAUGAGAUGGCUUUGCGGUGCAUUAGCUAGUUGGUGGGGUAAAGGCCCACCAAGGCGACGAUGCAUAGCCGACCUGAGAGGGUGAUCGGCCACACUGGGACUGAGACACGGCCCAGACUCCUACGGGAGGCAGCAGUAGGGAAUCUUCCGCAAUGGGCGAAAGCCUGACGGAGCAACGCCGCGUGAGUGAAGAAGGAUUUCGGUUCGUAAAAGCUCUGUUGUUAGGGAAAGAAAGGAUAUGUAG